AGACCGUUGCAAAUUGCGAUAAAGUGAUGUGAUGCGCAAGUCCACCACUUAUACGUGAAUCAUCGAGUUGUUGAACGCAUUGCACCGCGCCCUAAUCCGGCUGCGGUAUGCCCCUUUGAGCGUCAUUGUAUUCCUUCGGGAGUCCUUUUACAAGGACCCGAGUUCGGAGUCCUCGGUCCCCUGUGGAUCGUGUUCUCUCAGAUCCCUCGCACCGAUCGCCUGAUGCGUCCUCUAAUGCCUAAGCGUGGAGUUCCUUCAGAGUCCGAGAGGUGCUUGACCGAGUCUUGAGCUCGUGUCACCAAGUCUGCCUAACAGCAGUACUACAACGCAUGACCUCAUUGGGGUAGGACAACCCGCUAGACUUAAGCAUAUUAAUCAGCGGAGGAAAAGAAACUAACCAGGAUUCCCUCAGUAACUGCGAGUGAAGCGGGAUCGGCUCAAUGUGUGAAUCUGGCUUGGGGUACAUCCCGGGUUCGAGUUGUGCACUAUGGAUGCUUCGUCUGCGUUUGUAAAGGCGGUGGAAGUCCGUUGAAACACGGCACCUCAGAGGGUCACAGUCCUGUACCACCUGCCUGCACUCGCGCCAAUGACAAGUGCUCCUCGAGUCGCGUAGUUUUGUAAUGCUGCGCCAAGUGGGAGGUAGAGACCUUCUAAGGCUAAAUAUGAUGACGUGACCGAUAGCACACAAGUACCGCGAGGGAAAGGUGAAAAGCAACCAUGAAAAAUGGGUUGAAACAGUAGUGAAAGCGCUACCGGGAUAAGGGCUAUCGGGUGCUGGGGCUCUUUGGGUGUGCUUUAGUGCUACCCUCCGAGACGGCCCGCGAGGGUUGAUGUUGGGGCGAUAGACGCACUGCAGGAAUUCAGCUGCCUUCGGGCAGUGUUGUAGCCUGCGGUUGCUGAUCCUCCUGCGAC
rnacentral:rRNA from 1 species